AAUAGAUACCCAGGUAGUCCAUGCCGUAAACGUUGGGAACUAGAUGUGGGGACCAUUCCACGGUCUCCGUGUCGCAGCUAACGCAUUAAGUUCCCCGCCUGGGGAGUACGGCCGCAAGGCUAAAACUCAAAGGAAUUGACGGGGGCCCGCACAAGCGGCGGAGCAUGCGGAUUAAUUCGAUGCAACGCGAAGAACCUUACCAAGGCUUGACAUAUACGAGAACGCUGCAGAAAUGUAGAACUCUUUGGACACUCGUAUACAGGUGGUGCAUGGUUGUCGUCAGCUCGUGUCGUGAGAUGUUGGGUUAAGUCCCGCAACGAGCGCAACCCUCGUCGUAUGUUGCCAGCACGUAAUGGUGGGAACUCAUAUGAGACUGCCGGGGUCAACUCGGAGGAAGGUGGGGAUGAGGUCAAAUCAUCAUGCCCCUUAUGUCUUGGGCUUCACGCAUGCUACAAUGGCCGGUACAAAGGGCUGCAAUACCGCAAGGUGAGCGAAUCCCAAAAGCCGGUCUCAGUUCGGAUUG
rnacentral:rRNA from 1 species